AUAUCGAGUGCCGUGGUUUCUAUAUAUAUAUUCUGAUUGACCUCCUCCACUGAGCACCGACAACCACAAACCAGGAGUGCCAUCCACUAUAAUCAUUAUAUGCUGGACUAUUAUGCACUGGCCCAGUCAAUCACCUAGACCUGAAUCCGAUUGA